rnacentral:lncRNA from 1 species
AUGGCAUUUAACAAUAUAAAUCUCCAUUUUCAAUGCUUGCAUAAAUCUAAUGAUUUUUUUCUCUUGAGCAAAGAGUCUUUAAUGCCUUCCUGGUGUGUUUUGCAGAGCACUGGAUCAACAUCACACAUGGAAUAUAUUUGUAAAGAGACAGGCAGGAUUAUGUCAUACCCAGAAGGGAUAAUAAUCAGAUAUGUCUCCCAAAUGUAACUUUUGUACUCCUAACUCCAUAUGGGUAUCUGAUUCUCAGAGGACUUGAUGAUGCCAGAACUGAAGUUUCAGAAUGGGAUCACUUCCUGCCUAGCUGGAAAUGAUAACCACAUAUGAAGAGGACUGUGGGGCCUGGAUAUUGCUUAGCUCAAGAUGGCAGUCCAGUUACUGAAAUUUCACCUUGUCACUGAUAGCAAAUGCAGAGAAAACUGUGCAUACAAGGUCAAUAGAAUCUGUUGACUGAAAUUAAAUUCCAUUCAUAUCCUAACUGAAGCAUGUUGAAAGCCUAAAAGCUUUUAACAAAUAACUGAAAACUAAGUGUGAAAGCCAGAGGGUUUUAUCUCCUGCAGGAGGAGAGAAGAAAAUAAUAAACUAAAGGAUUUAAUAGAGUUUUAAAAUUUCAGUGACAUUUUUAAUAUUCAGUUGAGCAGGUGGGAGAACCUGGGACCCUGACACAUGGGAUCUUGGUGAGCAAAUCUGAACAUUCCACUCCUCAGAUUUAUCUGAAGCCUCAGAGUGCACAUAGGUGGCCA